rnacentral:misc_RNA from 1 species
GAUGAAGAACGUAGCGAAAUGCGAUACUUGGUGUGAAUUGCAGAAUCCCGUGAACCAUCGAGUCUUUGAACGCAAGUUGCGCCCGAAGCCAUCAGGUUGAGGGCACGUCUGCCUGGGCGUCACAUAUCGUUGCCCAAUGCCUAUUGCAGUGCAAUAGGAAUUUCUAGGGCGAAUGAUGGCUUCCCGUGAGCGUUGUUGCCUCGCGGUUGGUUGAAAAUCGAGUCCUUGGUAGGGUGUGCCAUGGUAGAUGGUGGUCGAGUUAGAACGAUACCGAUCAUGUGCAUGCUCCCCAAAAUAUGGCCUCUAUGACCCACACGCGUCUUUUGACGCUCAUGACGAGACCUCAGGUCAGGCGGGGCUACCCGCUGAAUUUAAGCAUACCAAUAAGCGGAGGA